AUCUAAACCAUACCACCCUGAAUGGGCCCAAUAUUAUCUGAUCUUGGAAGCUAAGCAGUGGCAGGUUUGGUUAGUACUGAGCCAGAGGAAUAACUCACUAGGUG
rnacentral:rRNA from 1 species